UUUUCCGGACGUAAUUGACAGACGCACCCUAAAAUAUUUUUAACUUUACAUACGAUUGAAUCAUUGCAUUCACUCUUGAUUUCAGUUCGCUUUCUUUUUCUAAUUUAUUUUUUCUUCUUUCUUUUUCUCUUUCUGUUUAUUCAUCGCCAUCAUCACCAUCCUCAACGACAUCAGAAUCAGGCUCAAUAUCUUCACCAUUCUAACCGUUUUGAAUAACUAAUAAGCCUUGUAUCUUUCAACCUUUUUUCAUGCUCGAAAUUAUAUCUUUUUUUACUCCUUUUUGUAUUGGAUUUGGCUUUUGCCUCUUUCAGAUUUUACUGGACUAAACAAAUAAAAUAAAUUACAAAUUGGACUACUAAUGACGAGUGGAAUAAGAUUACCGACAUUUCUCAGCUGACCCAAGUAACACUCUUUACUGUAUAAAAUUUAUACUUUUGUGCAUGUAACUUGGGUUUAAUAUGAUUAUUGCAUUGAAAGUGACAGUUUCGUUUAUCGAUACAUUUUUGAACCUUUAAAGUGAUACAAACGUUUGCUUAUGCAGUUAUAAAAAAUAACCCGAUUUUGUUCAAGAUGGACAUCAAUAAAUAAUAAUGAUGGUAAGGUGCAAACCACGCAAUUUGCACCACUUAAACUUGCAUUUUAUACCUUCUUCCUCGUUAUCAUCACAUCAUCAUCAUCAUUAUCAACUGUUCAUCAUCUCCUUCCUCAUAAUUGGAAACAUAGAGUGUAUUUGUUUACACCUAAUGUUAUGCUUCUGGUCAUAUCUUUGAUUUGGAAAUUGGAUUAAAUGGAAAGCACGUUGGAAUCAUUUGAAUUGAAUAAUCAUAACUAUAAUUGAGUAAAGAUCAUGAUCAACAUACUUCUCCUUUAUCACACUCAAUAUCAUGAUGAACCAGCUUUUCUGAAGACUCUCAAUUUUACUCGUCGAUUCGGAUGGUUGACUGUAACUUAACUGAUUGGCUUCAUGGGACCUCAUCAGAAUCAACACCAACAUGAGGACACAAACAAACACACCAAACCCAAAGGAGAUUGUAAACUGUUAACAAUCAUACAAACAGUAUUAUUGAUAUCAGUUGUCAUUAAUAUUUACGUUUUUGCGUUUAAUGAAAAAGUAAAAUGUGAAAAGAAAUGAAAAGUUAGCAAGAAAAUCGUGAAAUAAUCAUAUUUCACGUUAAUUUCACUUUUACUUGAAAUGCCAAUUAUCGGAUAGAGCAGUUAAUUGGCCCAGUAAAAGUGAAAUGAUCAAAAAAUGGUCUAAAGAUUGGCCAUUUAGACGUAAAAACUUUGUAUUUUCCAAUACAUCAUUGAUCUGGAAAAGCGGCCUCAAUGUCACCUUUAUUUUCACCAUUUUCAUUUUGAUCCAUUUUACUUUUCCAUUGACUCGAGUAAAUCACAAUUUUUUCAUCUCAUCCAUCAUCAAAUCACAUCUAAUUGAGCAAUCAGUCUCUAAUGAAAAAUCAAGUGAAAACGGAUCUAAGAAGGUUAAUUGCGAACUUGUCGUUAUCAAAAAUCAUUUUGAUUCCUGCCAAUUGUCAGAUGAAAUGGUAUAAACCAUCAUUUUGAGCUUGUUUCCAUUUUUUUUUUCAAUUAAAAAAAUAUUUUUGUAUUAAACAGUAAAAAUAUUAUUUUG